GACGAACGCUGGCGGCGUGCCUAAUACAUGCAAGUAGAACGCUGAAGAGAGGAGCUUGCUCUUCUUGGAUGAGUUGCGAACGGGUGAGUAACGCGUAGGUAACCUGCCUUGUAGCGGGGGAUAACUAUUGGAAACGAUAGCUAAUACCGCAUAACAAUGGAUGACACAUGUCCUUUAUUUGAAAGGGGCAAUUGCUCCACUACAAGAUGGACCUGCGUUGUAUUAGCUAGUAGGUGAGGUAGUGGCUCACCUAGGCGACGAUACAUAGCCGACCUGAGAGGGUGGUCGGCCACACUGGGACUGAGACACGGCCCAGACUCCUACGGGAGGCAGCAGUAGGGACUCUUCGGCAAUGGGGGCAACCCUGGCCGAGCAACGCCGCAGGGGUGAAGAAGGUUUCCGGAUCGUAAAGCUCUGUUGUAAGUCAAGAACGGGUGUGAGAGUGGAAAGUUCACUCUGUGACGGUAGCUUACCAGAAAGGGACGGCUAACUACGUG
rnacentral:rRNA from 1 species